rnacentral:rRNA from 1 species
UACGGAGGGAGCUAGCGUUAUUCGGAAUUACUGGGCGUAAAGCGUACGUAGGCGGCUUUGCAAGUUAGAGGUGAAAGCCUGGAGCUCAACUCCAGAACUGCCUUUAAAACUGCAUCGCUUGAAUCCAGGAGAGGUGAGUGGAAUUCCGAGUGUAGAGGUGAAAUUCGUAGAUAUUCGGAAGAACACCAGUGGCGAAGGCGGCUCACUGGGCUGGUAUUGACGCUGAGGUACGAAAGCGUGGGGAGCAAACAGG